CUGGCCCUCACCCAGCAUUUGAGACCAUCACAACCAUUCCUUUAGCCAUCAAGUGCAAAAGCAGGAUUGAAUGUGAACAGCUCCUGACAUAAUUGUUCUCCAAACCUCAGUGCUUUCAGUCUAUCUCAAGAAAAUCGAUGACAGAGAGGCUUGCUGACUGCAGUGGAGGGCGUGCCCCACUGCCCUUCAUGCCUCCUGAGGACAUUUAUGACACUGGUGACAACGGCAGGGCAUUCCCUGGGCACGUGAUGUACCUAUGCAUGCUUCUUCCUUAUGUCACAUCCAGCCUUCUCUUAAUCUAAGAGCACAUGGAGAACUUUCUGUGGUGAUUGCUGGUCUGUGUUAAGUAAA